AAAAACCCAAGUUUUAAGAUUUAUUUAAGAAAAAGUCAAAUGUAAUAGGGAGAAGUAGGUGAAUAGGAGCUAAGACAAUGAAGAAGGUAUUUUAAACGGUAAUGUUGAUUUCACUUUUCUUUCUAGACUCACAUACAAAGAGUACCAAAAAUACAGUGAUGUCCAAUAAACAAGUAUGCUAAAUAAAUAUGAAUUUCCUUAGUUAUAAUUAUAUUUAAAUUGUUUACAUUCAGAAUAUAGAAGUAGAAAGCUAAUCAGCCCAAUCAUUUCACAGUCUGUAACCCCAAAUACAAAAUGACAGGCCCAAAAUUUUCUCAUUUUUCUUCCUCAUCUAGGUGCAAAGUGAAUCCAUCUUCCUCAGAAAUCUGUAAAAGCCUUCUCCAAUUGGGAACUCUUUUUCUAUCUCCUUGCGGAUACAGACCACUUCACUAUACAUUCUACUAAUUCUGAAUAUUAGGAGGUCCUGAUAAGGAAAAUAGAACUGACAAGCUACCACCAGCCGGAAGAGAGGCCAAAGUGAGGGAGGAGAUGCCAGCCCAUAAUAUGUCCUGCCAACCUCCCAGAAAUCCUCACGCUGGAAACCAUCUUGACUGAGAGAUGUAUGCGCUGCCAGGAAGUGGACCAAAUAUGGG